UACGUAGGGCGCAAGCGUUGUCCGGAAUUAUUGGGCGUAAAGAGCUCGUAGGCGGUUUGUCGCGUCUGCUGUGAAAACCUAAGGCUCAACCUUGGGCUUGCAGUGGGUACGGGCAGACUAGAGUGCGGUAGGGGUGACUGGAAUUCCUGGUGUAGCGGUGAAAUGCGCAGAUAUCAGGAGGAACACCGGUGGCGAAGGCGGGUCUCUGGGCCGUAACUGACGCUGAGGAGCGAAAGCAUGGGGAGCGAACAGG
rnacentral:rRNA from 1 species